AAUAUUUGAUUCAUUUCUCUCUCCUCUAACUCUCUCUCUUGCCAGCAGACGCGAAGAAGCACAAGCAGAAAAGAAAAAAUUGUGCAGAAUUCUCUCCUCUAACUCUCUCUCUCUCGCUCGCGGAAGGCUCCGACUCCGUCGGCACAGCUUCACUCCGAAGCCAUUAACAGAUUCUAGUUAUUCUUAGAUAUAGGAUUAUAGACAUUCUCAAGGAAAGAGUUGCUAAAGAACAAAUGGUUCUUAUCUAUGGACUCCUCCAAUUGGGGUGAUCAAGAUUAAUUUUGACGGGACUGUUUUUGCGACCGACGGUGAAACGGGGACUGGUGUGGUAGCUCGAGAUGGAAAUGGAACAGUGGUCGCUGGCUCUCCCAUCGACAGAAAAGUUAUGCCGAUCCUGAAUUAGGGGAAGUACUAACAGCUACGGAAGCGGCAGACUUGGUAAGGUAGGAAUUGGUCACAAAUUAUUUUGGAGGGUGACUGUCUCCAAAUGACCUCCAAACUGAGAUCUCAUGCUCAUGAUUUAUCUUCUGUUGAUUUCUGACAUCCUUACUUUACUUAGUUUUUGCUCUUCUAUUUCAUUUAGUCAUGUUAACCGUGAUUGUAAUGGCUUAACUUACAAAAUCGCUCGCCAUGAACACACCCAGCUUGAGGGGUCUGUUUUUCAGUUGGUGAUGCUCAGUGUUUUUCUCUGAGUGACUCGGACUUGGCUUAAUUCAAUAUAUUGAUUUCCCUUCAAAACAAAAGUAU